rnacentral:rRNA from 1 species
UUCCCGUUGAUCCCGCCGGACCCGACUGCUAUCAGAGUGGGACUAAGCCAUGCGAGUCAACAUAGCAAUAUGUGGCAUACGGCUCAGUAACACGUAGUCAACAUGCCCAGGGGACGUGGAUAACCUCGGGAAACUGAGGAUAAACCGCGAUAGGUCAUCACUUCUGGAAUGGGUAAUGACUUAAACCUAUAUGGCCCCUGGAUUGGACUGCGGCCGAUCAGGCUGUUGGUGAGGUAAUGGCCCACCAAACCUGUAACCGGUACGGGCUCUGAGAGGAGGAGCCCGGAGAUGGGCACUGAGACAAGGGCCCAGGCCCUAUGGGGCGCAGCAGGCGCGAAACCUCUGCAAUAGGCGAAAGCUUGACAGGGUUACUCUGAGUGAUUUCCGUUAAGGAGAUCUUUUGGCACCUCUAAAAAUGGUGCAGAAUAAGGGGUGGGCAAGUCUGGUGUCAGCCGCCGCGGUAAUACCAGCACCCCGAGUGGUCGGGACGUUUAUUGGGCCUAAAGCAUCCGUAGCCGGUUCUACAAGUCUUCCGUUAAAUCCACCUGCUUAACAGAUGGGCUGCGGAAGAUACUAUAGAGCUAGGAGGCGGGAGAGGCAAGCGGUACUCGAUGGGUAGGGGUAAAAUCCGUUGAUCCAUUGAAGACCACCAGUGGCGAAGGCGGCUUGCCAGAAUGCGCUCGACGGUGAGGGAUGAAAGCUGGGGGAGCAAACCGGAUUAGAUACCCGGGUAGUCCCAGCUGUAAACGAUGCAGACUCGGUGAUGAGUUGGCUUAUUGCUAACUCAGUGCCGCAGGGAAGCCGUUAAGUUUGCCGCCUGGGGAGUACGGUCGCAAGACUGAAACUUAAAGAAUGGCGGG